GAUGAACGCUGGCGGCGUGCCUAAUACAUGCAAGUCGAGCGAACAGACGAGGAGCUUGCUCCUCUGACGUUAGCGACGGACGGGUGAGUAACACGUGGAUAACCUACCUAUAAGACUGGGAUAACCUCGGGAAACCGGAGCUAAUACCGGAUAAUAUAUUGAACCGCAUGGUUCAAUAGUGAAAGACGGUUUUGCUGUCACUUAUAGAUGGAUCCGCGCCGCAUUAGCUAGUUGGUAAGGUAACGGCUUACCAAGGCAACGAUGCGUAGCCGACCUGAGAGGGUGAUCGGCCACACUGGAACUGAGACACGGUCCAGACUCCUACGGGAGGCAGCAGUAGGGAAUCUUCCGCAAUGGGCGAAAGCCUGACGGAGCAACGCCCCGUGGGUGAUGAAGGUCUUCGGAUCGUAAAACUCUGUUAUUAGGGAAGAACAAAUGUGUAAGUAACUAUGCACGUCUUGACGGUACCUAAGCAGAAAGCCACGGCUAACUACGUG
rnacentral:rRNA from 1 species